UACCAAGAGCGAUAGUCCAUACCUGUA
rnacentral:piRNA from 1 species